rnacentral:lncRNA from 1 species
AUCAAGCUUCUUCUUCAACCAGUUGAACAUAGGCAAUGAAUCGGUUGAACAUGAUAGUGAGAGUUCAACUAGGUGAGCUUAGUCUGCAACUGAUUGAACAUGGACAAUGAGAUUUUUUUUUUUGCAUAUGAUGUAUAGUGUGAUCCUUCUUUUAUAAAAUUGAGUUAGAGAGGGAUUUCUUGAAAAGAUUUCGCGGUCUUCCAUCGUUGGUUCAUAGUAAGAUGAGAACAGGCAUCUCGAGUCAUCUUUAGUGUGGCAUC